GAUAAACGCUAGCGGCAGGCUUAAUACAUGCAAGUCGAACGGUAGCAGGCCCGCAAGGGUGCUGACGAGUGGCGUACGGGUGAGUAACGCGUAUGUAACAUACCUAUAAUUCUGGGAUAGCCUCGAGAAAUCGGGAAUAAUACCGGAUGUGAAAUACUUUUGGCAUCAAAGAUAUUUUAAAGAUUUAUUGGUUAUAGAUUGACAUGCGUAUCAUUAGCUAGUUGGUAAGGUAACGGCUUACCAAGGCGACGAUGAUUAGGGGUUCUGAGAGGAAGUUCCCCCACACUGGUACUGAGACACGGACCAGACUCCUACGGGAGGCAGCAGUAAGGAAUAUUGGUCAAUGGGCGCAAGCCUGAACCAGCCGUGCCGCGUGCAGGAAGACUGCCCUAUGGGUUGUAAACUGCUUUUAUACGGGAGAAAUGGUAUCUUUUUAAAAGGUAUUUGAUAGUACUGUAUGAAUAAGGAUCGGCUAACUACGUGCCAGCAGCCGCGGUAAUAC
rnacentral:rRNA from 1 species